rnacentral:rRNA from 1 species
GACGAACGCUGGCGGCGUGCCUAAUACAUGCAAGUCGAGCGGAGUUGAUGGAGUGCUUGCACUCCUGAAGCUUAGCGGCGGACGGGUGAGUAACACGUAGGUAACCUGCCCGUAAGACUGGGAUAACAUUCGGAAACGAAUGCUAAUACCGGAUACACAACUUGGUCGCAUGAUCGGAGUUGGGAAAGAUGGAGCAAUCUGUCACUUACGGAUGGACCUGCGGCGCAUUAGCUAGUUGGUGAGGUAACGGCUCACCAAGGCGACGAUGCGUAGCCGACCUGAGAGGGUGAUCGGCCACACUGGGACUGAGACACGGCCCAGACUCCUACGGGUGGCUG